rnacentral:antisense_RNA from 1 species
UUUCGCAUUGGGCUUACGCGCCACAAUGCCAUUGCCAACAGCGUGUAACAGGUGGGUUUUCCCUAAACCUGUACCGCCAUA